AGAUUGAACGCUAGCGGGAUGCUUUACACAUGCAAGUCGAACGGCAGCGCGGACUUCGGUCUGGCGGCGAGUGGCGAACGGGUGAGUAAUAUAUCGGAACGUGCCCAGUAGCGGGGGAUAACUACGCGAAAGCGUGGCUAAUACCGCAUACGCCCUACGGGGGAAAGGGGGGGAUCGCAAGACCUCUCACUAUUGGAGCGGCCGAUAUCAGAUUAGCUAGUUGGUGAGGUAAAGGCUCACCAAGGCGACGAUCUGUAGCUGGUUUGAGAGGACGACCAGCCACACUGGGACUGAGACACGGCCCAGACUCCUACGGGAGGCAGCAGUGGGAAUUUGGACAAGUGGGGAAACCUGAUCCAGCCAUCCCGCGUGUGCGAUGGAAGGCCGUUCGGGUUACGUAAAGCUACGUUUUGGCGGGAAGAAACGGCGUUAGAACGUAAUAUUACGAGCGUCACCGACGGUACCUAGUCCGAG
rnacentral:rRNA from 1 species